rnacentral:rRNA from 1 species
ACAAGCGGUGGAUGAUGUGGUUUAAUUCGAUGCAACGCGAAAACCUUACCACCUUUGACAUGUACGGAAUCCUUUAGAGAUAGAGGAGUGCUCGAAAGAGAGCCGUAACACAGGUGCUGCAUGGCUGUCGUCAGCUCGUGUCGUGAGAUGUUGGGUUAAGUCCCGCAACGAGCGCAACCCUUGUCAUUAGUUGCUACAUUCAGUUGGGCACUCUAAUGAGACUGCCGGUGACAAACCGGAGGAAGGUGGGGAUGACGUCAAGUCCUCAUGGCCCUUAUAGGUGGGGCUACACACGUCAUACAAUGGAUGGUACAAAGGGUCGCCAACCCGCGAGGGGGAGCCAAUCCCAUAAAGCCAUUCGUAGUCCGGAUCGCAGUCUGCAACUCGACUGCGUGAAGUCGGAAUCGCUAGUAAUCGUGGAUCAGAAUGUCACGGUGAAUACGUUCCCGGGUCUU